GGUACCUCAGAUGGAAAUGCAGAAAUCACCUGUCUUCUGCGACGCUCACACUGGGAGCUGUAGACCGGAGCUGUUCCUAUUCGGCCAUCUUGGCUCCUCCCCAGGAAAAAAUUUCUUAAAGUUGUUUUCUCCACUUUUCUGGCCUCUUGCCCAACAAAAUGGUGAACAAGACUCCACCUACUUCAAGGAUUGGGAGAAUAGAGAGUGGAAUGGGAACAACUGGUUGACAUUUGAUGACCUGCAGAUGGGACCUGAAGCAAGCUUCCUACAAUCCUCACUGCUUUGCUGACAUUUGGAACUUUAGUACAGGAUGAGUGGCUUUCACUUAUUUGACUUCAUCAGAGCUGAAGAGGGUCUCUGGCAUGGCUUCUCUCAGGUUUUGAAUCUCCCUGGUUUUGGCUGAGAUUCAUACUUUAUUCAGGCAUUCUGAUUCCACACUCAACAAAACUGGAAUUGAAGCUUCACUUUUAAAAGUGGGAGUUUCAUUUGUUAUUUCUUUAGAGAUUCUGCUGUUUGCUGAUACUGUUAGUAUAAUUUGGUUUUGUUUUGAAAGGUCAAAAGUAUACGUGCAACAACAUGGAUGAACGUUGAAAACAUUAUGCUAAGUGAAGGAAGCCACUCACCAAGGACCACAUACUGUAUGUUUCCAUUUAUAUGAAAUCUCCAGAAUAGGCAAAUUCCUAGAGACAAAAGUCACAUUAGUAGUUGCCGG
rnacentral:lncRNA from 10 species